rnacentral:snRNA from 1 species
AUACUUACCUGGCAGGGGAGACACCAUAAUCAGGCAGGUGGUUUCCCCAGGGCGAGGCUCAUCCCCUGCACUCCAGGUGUGCUGACCCGUGCGAUCUCCCCAAAUGCGGGUUUUGGGGUGCUUUCCUGCCUAAUAUUC